GCAGUGGCCCGGCGGGGCCCGGGGCAGCCCCGCGGGGGGCGGCCGGGCGGGCGGCACGGAGUAGGGAAGGAGCGGCCGGGCCGGUUCCCGGGGCACCGGGGAGUUGGCGUCUUCCGUCUAUCCCGGGCACAUAAAAUUAACAUUUUGAGGUAAAACCGAGGCAAUUUAGUGAGGGACAUUCGGGGGAAAGGGCGGGGAAUCGAGGUUCUCUGAGCAGGACAGGAAGGGACAAUUUUGGGGUAAACCCUGAGCUAGUCAGGGGAGGUUUAGGGGUCGAACCUGCCCUCUGUGCAGGGAUUGGAAGGAACGUUUUUGAGGGAAAAGCAGAGACAAAUUGGCAGGGGGAGCAGAGGUGACAUUUUUCACAGAAACGCUAAGGUAAUUUGGAUGAAACAAAAUCACCUUUUUUUUGUGGGGUGAAUCGGUGGGUAUCUUGAAAAAAGAGGAGCCUUUCUGAGAGAAAGGCUGGGAAUUCAGACAAGACCACAGCAGCAUUUUGGACAGAAAACCGGAGGUAACUUAGUGGGGACAGAGGUGACCCUUUUAGCUGAAAACCUGGAGUAAUUUAGAGGAAACAUAGGCACUGUUUUAUGUAGGAAGGUGGGAGGCAACGUAGAGGGGAAAGAGGUGGUGUUUUGGACAGAAUAGGUGAGGUGGUUGGUAAUGGAUCGACUGCCAGCUGCAGACUGAGCCCUGGAGCCUGAAUCCUUUCCAGUCAGCAGGGGUUGUCCCAAAUGCCAUUCCCUGGCUCAUAAUUUGGUUGUUUGCAGGUCCUGCCCAGAAUGAGCAUCCAUGUGCUUGGACAAUGAUUCCCCAGAAGGAAGGGGAGCUUUGGCCUCACCCGCCCACCUCAGGUGGAUGGGACAGAACUGGGGUGGUCGCAUAAGGCAUGAACACGUUCUGAGUUAAAAAGAGAAAAUAAGACUGGAAAUCUCCUGCACUUGGGAGCUUGUGGUGCUCUGGAUUAAAUCCUGGAUUUAUAAUGUUAA